rnacentral:rRNA from 1 species
CAAGCCGAAGGAAGGUGGGGAUGACGUCAAGUCCUCAUGGCCCUUAUAGGUGGGGGCUACACACGUCAUACAAUGGCUGGUACAAAGGGUUGCCAACCCGCGAGGGGGAGCCAAUCCCAUAAAGCCAGUCGUAGUCCGGAUCGUAGUCUGCAACUCGACUACGUGAAGUCGGAAUCGCUAGUAAUCGUGGAUCAGAAUGUCACGGUGAAUACGUUCCCGGGUCUU